CUUCUCUCUCUACAAGAUAUGGUUAUAAAAGGAAAUGUGUACAAUGAAAAUCUCUAUUCUUUCACUUUCCCUCUUUUAUCUGUUCUCUUCUUCUUUUUGUAUUCCUCCCCUUUAUCUUCUCUUGCACGUACUCUACCAUUUUUUGAUCCUUUGGUGCUUUUGAAGCUCACCUCUAGUUGGGUAUUAAUUGGGCUUUUAUUCCUUUAAAUAUUGGAAAAAAGGGUAGUGUUUAUUGAUCUACUCUUUACACUUAUUCCUCUUUGGGAGAAAAGUGGAGUUAAAGUUAGUGGGGUAUUAUUGUUUACCCUUAUUGUUUCUGUUAUCGUUACUCCAUUCUUAUAGCUCGUGAAUAAUUCAUUUCAUUAACUACAGUAUUAAUUUCAUUGUUAAAAGUUCAUUGAAAAUGGUGAAAUUUAUUGGAUAGACUGGAGAAUUGGAUACUGGGUAUUGAAGUGUUUGUAAAGAAAGAUAUUAGGGAUCCAAAAAUAGGGGGGAGUGAUUGUGAUAAUUUUGCUGUGGUGGAGUGCUUAUUGAAUAUUUUGAUUUGGAUGGGCUCCUGCUUUUCAUUUGAAAGCAGGAGCCCAGUCCCCGGAUCUUCAGUGUCUGCUACUAAAAGAAAGAGCUCAAGAAAGUGGUCAACGGAGGAACAGCUGCAGGGUAUUCCUGGGCGUAUGUUGUUGAAUGGGUCGAGCGAGGUGGCUUCACUCUUCACUCAGCAGGGAAAGAAAGGACCUAAUCAAGAUGCCAUGAUUGUUUGGGAGAAUUUUGGUUCCAGAGCGGAUACAGUUUUCUGUGGUGUUUUCGAUGGCCAUGGUCCUCAUGGUCAUUUUGUUGCAAAGAGAGUCAGAGAUUCUCUUCCUUUAAAGCUAAGUGAACUCUGGGAAGUUAAUAUAAAAAAUGAUGAUGAUGUUGUGAGAGAGACUAGUGCAAAUACCCUAUACUCUGCGGAUGCUUCCCUUAUAUCUGCUGAUGAGGAGUCAAGGGUUUCAAUUGACGUUGAUAAGACUGAAAAGCAACCGGAGGUCCCUCAGACAUUGAAGAACUCAUUUCUAAAGGCUUAUAAGUUUAUGGAUAGAGAACUGCGAGGAUAUAGCCGUAUCAACUGCUUCUGUAGCGGAACAACUGCAGUCACCCUUGUUAAGCAGGGUCAGGAUCUUGUAAUUGGAAAUAUUGGGGAUUCUAGAGCUGUACUGGCUACGAGAGAUAAAGAUGAUUCUUUGAUGGCGGUACAAUUGACAGUAGAUCUGAAACCUAACCUACCAGCGGAGGCAGAGAGGAUUCGCAAAUGUAAAGGGCGUGUAUUUGCUCUUCGCAAUGAACCAGAGGUUGCAAGAGUGUGGUUGCCGAACAGUGACUCACCUGGACUAGCUAUGGCACGUGCAUUUGGAGAUUUUUGCCUCAAGGAUUUUGGCCUCAUUGCUGUGCCUGAAAUUUCAUAUAGGUGUUUAACAGAGAAAGAUCAGUUCAUUGUUCUGGCAACAGAUGGGAUUUGGGAUGUGCUUUCAAAUGACCUAGUGGUAAACAUUGUGGCUUCGGCUUCACCACGUUCAUUUGCAGCUCGAUCACUGGUUGAAGUAGCUGUACGAGCCUGGAGAACUGAAUACCCAACCUCUAAAGUUGAUGAUUGUGCUGUUGUCUGCCUAUUCCUUGACUCGAACUCAAUUGACUCGUCCACUGCUUGCAGCACUAAAGACGAUGGACAAGACUGUCUUUGAUGAAACUGAGUGAAGUUACAGACAAUAGGAAUGAUUUCUCUGGUCCAACUGUACCGGAUCAUUCUGGGACUGUUCGAGAAGGCGAUGAAGUUUCAGAAGAAGAAAAAGAAGAAGCCUCUGAUCGCGAGGUGCAUUGCCAACGUUUGUUCCGACAAUGAAGAAAAGAGAGCUGCUGGAGGAAGCAAAGAGGGUGAAAUCUCCUUGCAACUCUGAAUUUAUUUGUUUAAAUGAUUUUUCAUUUUCUUUUGCCUUUUUUCUAUGGCUUCAUUUCUUUACUGUAAAAAAAGGAGAAACAUUAGAUAUUUUUUCGGACCGGAGAGGUUGGCCCGGCUAUAUUAGUGUGUCUGGGAGUCAUCCUUUUCUCUAGCUUAGGUAGAUUGGAAUUUUGUAUAAUUCCUAGCUGUAGUCUUCUUCAUUCUUGGCUUUCUAUCUUCUCUUUUUCUUUUCAUAAUCUCAGUUUUUUUGUUAUGUGGUCA